rnacentral:rRNA from 1 species
GACGAACGCUGGCGGCGUGCUUAACACAUGCAAGUCGAGCGGUAAGGCCCUUUCGGGGGUACGACGAGCGGCGAACGGGUGAGUAACACGUGGGUGACCUGCCCUCCAGCUCUGGGAUAAGCCUGGGAAACCGGGGUCUAAUACUGGAUAUGACUCCAUGACGCAUGUUGUGGGGUGGAAAGCCUUGUGCGGCUGAGGAUGGGCCCGCGGCCUAUCAGCUUGUUGGUGGGGUGGAUGGCCUACCAAGGCGACGACGGGUAGCCGG